rnacentral:lncRNA from 1 species
CGCCAUUCCAGGCCCUGGGGGCUGCUCCGGCCCCACCAUGAUGUGCUCAGCAGCGGCUCCUACUGAUUUCCAAAUGCAGCCUCAGACGUUUGUGGAGAAAAGCUACUUUAAAGGGGCCAGUGGACUACUGGGUGGAGACGGGGGCGGUAGAAUGGCACUGUGUGCCGGGGACCUGGUCCAGAAUGGUAGCUACACAGGGAGAGCGGGACUUGAGGCUGGAGUCUGGAUUUAGCUCAAGAGAAAAUCAAACAGUGAAGACCCGGGAUCGAAGAUCAUCCACGUGUAGAAACUUCCUUUCAGAGAAAAGAAAAAUCAAGUUUUCAGUGUUCCAGUGCGGCUUUGGUGGGGCUGGGUUGAGCCUGGGGCAGGCCUGCUUCUAAGUGAGCCCUGUGAGCAGCUCCCAGCCCGGGCAACCUCCACCCGAUAGCCAACAGCUGCAAAGAAGCUUCUAAUCUCUUUCCACUCUUGUACUGUAAACAAGGGUCCUCUUCAAGUCUCUUUGGUGUCACUGUCGUUUUUGUUUGUUUAUUUGUUUUUGCAUUUUUGUGCUUUUACUU